AGUGAACGCUGGCGGUAGGCCUAACACAUGCAAGUCGAACGGCAGCACAGUAAGAGCUUGCUCUUACGGGUGGCGAGUGGCGGACGGGUGAGGCAUACAUCGGAAUCUACUUUUUCGUGGAGGAUAACGUAGGGAAACUUACGCUCAUACCGCAUACCACCUACGGGUGAAAGCAGGGGAUCUUCGGACCUUGCGCGAUUGAAUGAGCCGAUGUCGGAUUAGCUAGUUGGCGGGGUAAAGGCCCACCAAGGCGACGAUCCGUAGCUGGUCUGAGAGGAUGAUCAGCCACACUGGAACUGAGACACGGCCCAGACUCCUACGGGAGGCAGCAGUGGGGAAUAUUGGACAAUGGGCGCAAGCCUGAUCCAGCCAUACCGCGUGGGUGAAGAAGGCCUUCGGGUUGUAAAGCCCUUUUGUUGGGAAAGAAAAGCAGCAGGUUAAUACCCCGCUGUUCUGACGGUACCCAAAGAAUAAGCACCGGCUAACUUCGUG
rnacentral:rRNA from 1 species